GUGGGGAAUUUUGGACAAUGGGCGAAAGCCUGAUCCAGCAAUGCCGCGUGUGUGAAGAAGGCCUUCGGGUUGUAAAGCACUUUUGGCAGGGAAGAAACAGUGCGUGCUAAUACCAUGCGCGAAUGACGGUACCCGCAGAAUAAGCACCGGCUAACUACGUGCCAGCAGCCGCGGUAAUACGUAGGGUGCAAGCGUUAAUCGGAAUUACUGGGCGUAAAGCGUGCGCAGGCGGCUUUGUAAGACGGAUGUGAAAGCCCCGGGCUCAACCUGGUAAGUGCAUUGGUGACUGCAAGGCUGGAGUGUGUCAGAGGGAGGUGGAAUUCCGCGUGUAGCAGUGAAAUGCGUAGAGAUGCGGAGGAACACCGAUGGCGAAGGCAGCCUCCUGGGAUAACACUGACGCUCAGGCACGAAAGCGUGGGGAGCAAACAGGAUUAGAAACCCUGGUAGUCC
rnacentral:rRNA from 1 species